UGGGGAAUAUUGCACAAUGGGCGCAAGCCUGAUGCAGCCAUGCCGCGUGUAUGAAGAAGGCCUUCGGGUUGUAAAGUACUUUCAGUCGGGAGGAAGGUGGUAAGGUUAAUAACCUUAUCAAUUGACGUUACCGACAGAAGAAGCACCGGCUAACUCCGUGCCAGCAGCCGCGGUAAUACGGAGGGUGCAAGCGUUAAUCGGAAUUACUGGGCGUAAAGCGCACGCAGGCGGUCUGUCAAGUCGGAUGUGAAAUCCCCGGGCUCAACCUGGGAACUGCAUUCGAAACUGGCAGGAUAGAGUCGUGUAGAGGGGGGUAGAAUUCCAGGUGUAGCGGUGAAAUGCGUAGAGAUCUGGAGGAAUAACGGUGGCGGAGGCGGCCCCCUGGACAAAGACUGACGCUCAGGUGCGAAAGAGUGGGGAGCAAACAGG
rnacentral:rRNA from 1 species